rnacentral:rRNA from 1 species
CCCUGCCAUUUGUACACACCGCCCGUCGCUACUACCGAUCGAAUGGCUAAGUGAGGCUUUCGGACUGGCUCAGGGAGGUCGGCAACGACCACCCAGAGCCGGAAAGUUGUCCAAACUUGGUCACUUAGAGGAAG